GGAGAGGUUACUAGGGUGCUGUCCACUCCAGAAGCCAUUGGGCUGCAACGCACAGAAAUUGCUUGCGAACUGCUAGAACAUCAAAGUAAUGCUGAUGACUACUGUGUGGUUUGUUCCAUGCUGGAAGCCGAUCCUGAGUCCAGUAUGAUUGAAAUGGUGCAGUGUGAGUUUUGUCUCAGAUGGGCACAUUUUGGAUGUGCUCAAUAUGAGAGCAGCCUGGUCAAGUACUUGUGCGACAAAUGUGCAUAA